rnacentral:rRNA from 1 species
CACGCCCUAAACGAUGUCAACUAGCUGUUGGGGCCGUUAGGCCUUAGUAGCGCAGCUAACGCGUGAAGUUGACCGCCUGGGGAGUACGGUCGCAAGAUUAAAACUCAAAGGAAUUGACGGGGACCCGCACAAGCGGUGGAUGAUGUGGAUUAAUUCGAUGCAACGCGAAAAACCUUACCUACCCUUGACAUGUCUGGAAUGCCGAAGAGAUUUGGCAGUGCUCGCAAGAGAACCAGAACACAGGUGC